CCUACGGGAGGCAGCAGUGGGGAAUAUUGGGCAAUGGGCGCAAGCCUGACCCAGCAACGCCGCGUGAAGGAAGAAGGCUUUCGGGUUGUAAACUUCUUUUUUCAGGGACGUAGAAAGUGACGGUACCUGCGGAAUAAGCCACGGCUAACUACGUGCCAGCAGCCGCGGUAAUACGUAGGUGGCAAGCGUUAUCCGGAUUUACUGGGUGUAAAGGGCGUGUAGGCGGGAAGGCAAGUCAGAUGUGAAAUCCACGGGCUCAACCUGUGGCCUGCAUUUGAUACUGUUUUUCUUGAGUACAGGAGAGGCAGACGGAAUUCCUGGUGUAGCGGUGAAAUGCGUAGAUAUUAGGAGGAACACCAGUGGCGAAGGCGGUCUGCUGGACAGCAACUGACGCUGAGGCGCGAAAGCGUGGGGAGCAAACAGGAUUAGAUACCCCUGUAGUC
rnacentral:rRNA from 1 species